GUUUCUUUAAACAGCAAAGUACAUCAGUUAUACAUAUACACACAUCCACUGCUUUCUAAAUUUCCUUCCCUGCUUAGGUCACCAGAGAGCAUUAAGUGGAGUUGCCUGUGCUGCACAGAGCUUCUAAUCAGUUACCUAUUUUAUAUAUAGAAGUGAGUCAUUCUAACUCUUAAAGAAGGAGUCAGUGAGUGUUCACAUUCUGCAGAAUUUAAACUGCUUCAGAACUACUUUGAAUGAAUUUAAAUAUAAAAUUCUCAGCUACUUGGCAGAUAAAGUAGCUUUUUCAUUUUUUAUCCUUAUAAGUGUGUUUUAUAUUCAUAAAGAUUUAAUUUCUUAAUAAACUCCACUGAGCUGAGUUGAUAAUAAUUAAUUUAAAACAAACCAAGGGAAUACCACUUUUUAAUAGUUUUAUAUUCUCAAUAAUUGAAGGUAACUUGUUAGCAAAUAAAAGACUAAUAAAUUGCUUUAAUUUAAAUAAAUGAUUUUCCAUUAUUUCCUAGCAUGAAGACCCGUGGAGUGGUUUCAUUUCAUCCUGGACAAGAAAAGAAAGAACAGAAAUUAGGAUAAUGAAGCUCUGUCUUCUUACACGAUUUCAGAAGCUUGAAAGCAACUGGGAAGCCAUUCAAGAAAUGACAUCUGAAUACCCAGAAAUGGAAUAUCUAUCUUCAGUCCAGCCAACAAGUCUACACAAUGCCAAGAAGGUGUUGGCUGUGCUUGUGUGUUCUCUAUCGCAUACUUGAUGGACACCCGAAAUCACCAGGUGGGUAUCUUGUUUGAUGGACGCCCGAAAUCACCAGGUGGGUAUCUUGUUUG
rnacentral:lncRNA from 1 species